UACGGAAGGCAGCAGUGGGGAAUAUUGCACAAUGGGCGAAAGCCUGAUGCAGCUAUGCCGCGUGUAUGAAGAAGGCCUUAGGGUUGUAAAGUACUUUCAUCGGGGAGGAAAAAACAAAACUAAUAAUUUUAUUUCUUGACGUUACCCGAAAAAGAAGCACCGGCUAACUCCGUGCCAGCAGCCGCGGUAAUACGGAGGGUGCUAGCGUUAAUCAGAAUUACUGGGCGUAAAGAGCACGUAGGUGGUUUUUUUAAGUCAGAUGUGAAAUCCCUGGGCUUAACCUAGGAACUGCAUUUUGAAACUGAAAUACUAGAGUAUCGUAGAGGGAGGUAGAAUUCUAGGUGUAGCGGUGAAAUGCGUAGAUAUCUGGAGGAAUACCUGUGGCGAAAGCGGCCUCCUAAACGAAUACUGACACUGGGGUGCGAAAGCGUGGGGAGCAAACAGGGAUUAGAUACCCGU
rnacentral:rRNA from 1 species